rnacentral:rRNA from 1 species
AUAAUACUAACGGCGUAAAGCACGACUAAAAAUAAGUUAAAACAUUAGGAACGAAGCCAAACCGGGCCGUAAAAAGCCAUAAGUCACACUAAUCAUCACCUAACAACAAACAACUUCAACUCGUGAAAAUUAGGAUACAAACUAAGAUUAGAUACCUUACUAUGCCUAACCGUAACACAACAAUCAAACUACCAAUUGUUCGCCAAAUAACUACGAGUAAAAACUUAAAAUUUAAAAGACUUGACGGUGCCUCAAAACAGCCUAGAGGAGCCUGUCCAAUAACCGAUACCCCACGCUUAACCCAACCCACCCUAGCCAGACAGUCUAUAUACCGCCGUCGCCAGCCUACCUUAUGAGAGAAACAAAGUGAGCUAAAUAGUAACACACUAACACGACAGGUCGAGGUGUAACUUAUGGGGGGGACCAAGAUGGGCUACAUUUUCUAAACUAGAAAACACGAAUUAACCCAUGAAAAAGAAACUGAAGACGGAUUUAGAAGUAUGCCGGGAACAACUAACCCCGCAGAAAUCAACGCAAUGAGGCGCGUACACACCGCCCGUCAUCCCUGUCAAUCAGCUACAAAACAUACAUAAA